AUUGAACGCUGGCGGCAGGCCUAACACAUGCAAGUCGAACGGUAACAGGAAGCAGCUUGCUGCUUUGCUGACGAGUGGCGGACGGGUGAGUAAUGUCUGGGAAACUGCCCGAUGGAGGGGGAUAACUACUGGAAACGGUAGCUAAUACCGCAUAACGUCGCAAGACCAAAGAGGGGGACCUUAGGGCCUCUUGCCAUCGGAUGUGCCCAGAUGGGAUUAGCUAGUAGGUGGGGUAACGGCUCACCUAGGCGACGAUCCCUAGCUGGUCUGAGAGGAUGACCAGCCACACUGGAACUGAGACACGGUCCAGACUCCUACGGGAGGCAGCAGUGGGGAAUAUUGCACAGUGGCGCAAGCCUGAUGCAGCCAUGCCGCGUGUAUGAAGAAGGCCUUCGGGUUGUAAAGUACUUUCAGCGGGGAGGAAGGGAGUAAAGUUAAUACCUUUGCUCAUUGACGUUACCCGCAGAAGAAGCACCGGCUAACUCCGUG
rnacentral:rRNA from 1 species